ACUUGCUCGUGUAGAUAUUGGCAGCUGUCAGGUUUACCCUGCUGCCAUGCCAUUAGUGCUAUCUAUAAAACAGGACAGAAAAUUGAUGAUUAUAUUGCUCCUUGCUACUCCAUAGAAGUGUACAACAAGAUAUAUGAUCAUUGCUUACAACCUUUGGAGGGAGAGGAGAGUUGGCCUAUUUCAACAAAUCCAAAGCCACAACCACCUAGUCACAUUAGCUUGCCUGGAAGGCCUAAAACAGAAAGAAGGAGAGAGGAAGGAGAAAAACCUAAGGGUACUAAGAUGAGCAAAGUAGGUGGCAAGAUCACUUGUAGUUCUUGCAAAAGGCAAGGACAUAAUAGAUCAAGCUGUAAGAACAAUGAUGGAGCUAAACAUCAUGGAAAUGCUCAUUUGGUCAGAGAAGCUGCAAAACAAAAGAAGCAAGACAAAGAGGCUUUUGAUGCUCUUCAGACACAGAAAGCUAUGCUUGAAAAGCAGGUUAAGAUGACACUUGUUAGUACUAAUGAAAAAUUGGUUGCUUUUUGUUUCUACUAA
rnacentral:rRNA from 1 species